UAUUUUUUUUACAUAAUUUCUUUAGUUUUGAAUAUUAAAACUAAAAGUUUUGUAAUGGUAUGGUGGGCAAGAAAAUAUGGAAUCUUGCUGAGUUUAGCUCAAACCCAAAGAAAUAUAUUGUUCAAUAUUAUUGCGCAGUAACGCUCAGCUGCAAUAUUUGACAUAGCUGUAAUGUCAUAGUCUUAAAAACUGAAUUUUAAAAGCUUGAAAUUUGUGUGACGGUAGCAAAUUAAGUGGAAACCGGAAAUAGCUAUUUUUAAACUUAAUUGCAAUGAAUGCUUGUACCAUUGUUACAUACUUAUUCGAGUUUCUUCUUCUGUGGUAUAAACCUCAAUAUCAUCCAAGAAUUUAAGCCGCAUCGGAACUUCUAUGGCCUUUUAUAAGAAUUAUGGAUAUACACUGGGAUGUAGCUUUGUUUGCUGAGGGGUUCGCCCUCUACUCUAUAUCAUGUUUAUCGGAAAUUAGAAUAGAAUGGAGGACAUACUAAAUGGUGGUUAGCAGGUUAGGAGAAAAUGUCGGACAGUAGAAGGGUUGUAUCGUUCAGGCGGUAAAUAUUACAUGUGGUGCAUCGUUGAUGUAUUUUAAUUGUAUGUACAUACAUCUAUGAACUUUACGAACUCAUGGAUAAAGAUUACUAGUCGCAACAUAAUGAAAAUAAUCAAGAAUAAUAGUUUUACUCACCUAAUUGUUGUUUGCCACACCUAAGAAUAAGGUUAUAAAUAAUCGAGGAAUAAAUAUAUAUGUAUGUAUCAAGAUGUCUGUCAGUCCUCCUACGUAACUAACUAAUCAACCUGCGAAACUCAGCGAAUCCCUGGGGGAGUCAUAUGUGUGUUUUUACAGUUUCCGAAAAUUGGGCCGGGUCACGAACUUUAGAUGGUUUAAUAAACAAUAAGAGUUAUCCCAACACAACAUUGGAUGUUAUCUACCAUCUUAUGCCAGAUAUAAAUAUGUGAAGGAUCGGCUAUAAAGUAUUUCCAGGAUUUCGACAGAUUGAACACUGCAAAAAAUUCCGACUCCAACCAGGCCUAUAUUCCAUUAAACGCAUCGGAGCAAAAUUUAACCCAACUAGUGACCUUAAUAUAUGGCAAACCCCCUCUAAAAUUACCGAAAACCGUCCAUAAAUGUAUAGCCUUCAUGAAACGAGUAUGUGUCUCCAUUUCCCUGGUUGUCUUUAUAACUAUAGUAGAUUGGUCGAUAUAGAAGAAUGUUUUUAGAAACGUUUUUGACAUCUGAUCUUAAAGCGAAUA